CACUGUUGCUCUAUGGGGAAAAUCCUCUGUGCAUAACCCCGCCCUUCCACCCGGUGUUACUGUUGUUCCAGGGCAGCUGCAGGCUGAGUUGCCUGUAAGGGUAUGUCUAUGCUGGCAUUGAAGGACAAAACUUUUGUCUUUCAGAGGUGUUAAUCCCCCCCACCCUCCCCCGAAAGACAAAAGUUUUGCCACUACAAGUACCAGUGUGAACCACACAUUGUUGGCAGGAGUGCUCUCCUGCUCACAAUGCAAAUGCCGCUCGUUGGGAGUGGGAGUUUUUUGUUGGCAGGAGAGACAACAAACAGCGGCUACACUUCACGACUUUUAGCAGCAUGGCUGAAGCCUAAGGGUAUGUCUACACUACCUGCCGGAUCACCGGGUAGUGAUCGAUCUAUCGGGGGUCAAUUUUAGUCUAGAUGCGAUAAAUCGAUGGCGAGAGGUGCAAGCAGAGUCGACGGAGGAGCGGUGGCAGUCAACCCCAUGUCGUGAAGACGCUGAGGUAAGUUGACCUAAGAUACGUCGACUUCAGCUACGCUAUUCUUGUAGCUGAAGUUGCAUAUCUUAGGUCGAUCUCCCCCCCCACGCCCCAAUGUAGACCAGGGCUUAGAUAAAUGCAUGGUAGAGCCUGAGUACAGACGGCUGCUUCCCUUUAGGUGAGGCUUGGUUUCUCAUAAAAGUUUUCCUCCUUGUUCUGGGUGUGGGAGGAGAAUUUUCCUAUUUUGUGAGUAGGUGGGGGUUUACGUAAGAAUGGCAAUACGGGGUCAGACCAAAGGUCCAUCUAGCCCACUAUCUUGUCUUCCGACUGGCUAAUACCAGGUGCUUCAGAGGGAAUGAAUAGAACAGGUAAUCGAGAAGUGAUCCAUCCUGUGUCACCAUUCCCAGCUUCUGGCAAACAGAGGCUAGGAACACCAUCACUGCCCAUCCUGACUAAUAGCCAUUGAUGGACCUAUCCUCCAUGAAUUUACCUAGUUCUUUUUUGAACCCUAUUAUAGUCUUGGCUUUCACAGCAUUCUCUGGCCAGCAAUUCCACAGUUUGAGUGUGUGUUGUGUGCUUUUUAAUUGUAUCUGUGAAGGUGUAAUGGGACAGGGAGAAGAAGAACUGACACAACAUUGCAGAUUCCGAUGAUAACUUUUGUUUUUCCCUCUUGUGUUGUGCUUAGUGUCAAGGGUAAGAGCCAACCCCCCUUGUGAGAUGGAAAGUGUACAAGAGCCAUGAGACAGUGAGCAUUGUUGAUGCCAGGCUAUUAUGAUGCCGUCUAGUUGGAAGCAGAGCAGCCAUCACUGUCAGUAAGAUAAGUGUCUGCUUUGGUGAGGAGUCUGGUCACGGCGCACCUGGCUCCAGGCAGGGACAUGCCAUUCGCUAGAUCUGUGUUUGUAAGAAAAGGUUCCUGACUAACUGUGGCUACGGGGGAGACAAGGCCCCCAUUAUCAGGGGCUGCUCAUCUGUCUGGCCAGGAGAGGUGUGUCCACUGCACCAAAAGGUUGGAUCCAGGAGGAUGACUGUAGCUGGUGAGUUUCUUGCCUUCCUUCCAUGUUUUCCAUGUUUCUCUCUCUCUUCGCUACUGUAGUGUGUCGGCUGACACACUUUGUCUGUCUGUGUUUGUCUCUCCUUGUUUGGUCUCCCUUCAUAGAACACGGGCAGACAUGCUCAGUGUGUAUCCCCAUUGGCUAGGUCUCGGGAGCCAUGAAGAAGUAGGAGGGUACAAAAAUCAUUCGGCGGAGUGCGCUGGAGAGUGGAGCGUCGCUGUCAGCGUUGACUGAGUCUCUGUUCAUCAAGCGGGGCCGAUGUAGAUGGGAUGGGAGGGAUGAGGGCAAGGUUUUGCACACCAAUUGAGUUUUGUGGAGUGAUGGCUCCUGCUUGGCUUAAUUGUGGUGCUUGCAGAGGAAUCGUCGAGCAGCAGCUGAAGGAGACGCUGGCAGAGGUGGACCUGAGCAGCCUGGACAUUCUUGCCGUGAGCUUCCUCAUUGGGCUUGGGAAUCUGUGGGACUAAGGCUGAGGAAGAGGCAAGUCUCCUCCGCAAAGUCACUAUUUCAGAGGCCUGCUCCAGGCCAGUGCAGCAGCCCCAGACAGAGGAGGAGCAUCUGGAGGAAGUGGACCUGCACAAUCUAGACAUUUCACUUGGCAAUGGAGCUGAGGAGGUCUCUUGUGAUGUUGGAGG